rnacentral:rRNA from 1 species
GCACGAGAAGGGGCUUCGGCCCUGGUAAAGUGGCGCACGGGUGAGUAACACGUGGGUAACGUUCCCUCAGGCGGGGAAUAACCUUCCGAAAGGAACGCUAAUACCGCAUACGCCCUACGGGAGAAAGCAGGGGACCUUCGGGCCUUGCGCUAUCAGAUGAGCCUAGGUCGGAUUAGCUAGUUGGUGAGGUAAUGGCUCACCAAGGCGACGAUCCGUAACUGGUCUGAGAGGAUGAUCAGUCACACUGGAACUGAGACACGGUCCAGACUCCUACGGGAGGCAGCAGUGGGGAAUAUUGGACAAUGGGCGAAAGCCUGAUCCAGCCAUGCCGCGUGUGUGAAGAAGGUCUUCGGAUUGUAAAGCACUUUAAGUUGGGAGGAAGGGUUGUAGAUUAAUACUCUGCAAUUUUGACGUUACCGACAGAAUAAGCACCGGCUAACUCUGUG